AAAAAGAGAAGUUACAGCCUUUCCGGUACUUCCAGCCAGCUCUACGAACCACUUCCGACCUAUCGUUAGAGCCACAAACUUCCGACUUAGUGUAAUAGCCACAAACGUUAGGCCGGAGUGGUUCGUAGAGCUGGCCAGAAGUACCGGAAAUGGCUGUAACUU
rnacentral:snoRNA from 1 species